ensembl:lncRNA
GUGUUGCUGCUCCGUCCACACGCAGAAUCAUGUCAGGAAACGUCGGGAGAAAGCGCCAGAGUCCAAUUUGGGAUUACUUUGAAUAUGACUGUGUUUUGGAUAAAGCAAGUGUCUUGUAGUGGAAAGAGACAAAAUAUGAGGGACAUUUCUAAAGGGAAAAAAAUCCCACAAACCUUAAAGUGCACUUGAAAAGCUCACACAGAAGGCUAACCUAGCUUACCUUGAGAAGGGAGCACACUCAACCCUCAUCCCCAGAAACAGACGCUAACCCCAGGCAAGGCAGCGUGAUGCAUCCCGAGACAACAGGACGGGGAUAUCUACACAACUGUCUCUUCAGCAGGAUGUUCAGGCAAAACCUGGAGCAUACGUCACUCUUCAGUGAACAAACGAUUCUAUGAAAACUACCAACAUCCAUCUUUUCAUGGCCGAGUGAAGCUGAGGGACCCAGAGAUGAAGGAUGGAGACGUUUCUCUGAUUCUGAAGAACGUUGCGUUUAAUGACACUGGGAUGUAUGAGUGUCACAUAGCUGUGAGGAACCCUGUGAGAAGUAAAA